rnacentral:misc_RNA from 1 species
AAGUCGUAACAAGGUUUCCGUAGGUGAACCUGCGGAAGGAUCAUUACCAAUAUGAAAGCAGCCUGGGGUUCACAAGCGCACGCUUCGGCGGACGCUUGCCCAGCCUGUCUGAAAUAUUCACCCAUGUCUUUUGCGUACUACUUGUUUCCUCGGUGGGUUCGCCCACCAGCAGGACAUUAUUUAACCUUUUGCAAUUGCAAUCAGCGUCUGAAAAACACAUAAUAAUUACAACUUUCAACAACGGAUCUCUUGGUUCUG